AUGAACGCUAGCGACAGGCCUAACACAUGCAAGUCGAGGGGCAGCACAAGGAGCAAUCUGAGGUGGCGACCGGCGCACGGGUGAGUAACACGUAUGCAACCUGCCUGUAAGCGGGGAAUAACCCGUUGAAAGACGGACUAAUACCGCAUAAUACUAAAUUACUGCAUGGUAAUUUAUUUAAACAUUUAUGGCUUACAGAUGGGCAUGCGCAUGAUUAGCUAGUUGGAGAGGUAACGGCUCCCCAAGGCAACGAUCAUUAGGGGUUCUGAGAGGAAGGUCCCCACACUGGUACUGAGACACGGACCAGACUCCUACGGGAGGCAGCAGUGAGGAAUAUUGGUCAAUGGACGAGAGUCUGAACCAGCCAAGUCGCGUGCAGGAAGAAUGUCCUAUUGGAUUGUAAACUGCUUUUGCAGGGGAAUAAAGUGCAUCACGUGUGAUGUUUUGUAUGUACUCUGCGAAUAAGGAUCGGCUAACUCCGUGCCAGCAGCUGC
rnacentral:rRNA from 1 species